rnacentral:rRNA from 1 species
GACGAACGCUGGCGGCGUGCCUAAUACAUGCAAGUCGAGCGGACUUUCAAGAAGCUUGCUUUUUGAAAGUCAGCGGCGGACGGGUGAGUAACACGUGGGCAACCUGCCUGUAAGACGGGGAUAACUCCGGGAAACCGGGGCUAAUACCGGAUAAUAUCUUUCUUCGCAUGAAGGAAGGUUGAAAGGCGGCGCAAGCUGCCGCUUGCAGAUGGGCCCGCGGCGCAUGAGCUAGUUGGUGAGGUAACGGCUCACCAAGGCGAUGAUGCGUAGCCGACCUGAGGGGGUGAUCGGCCACACUGGGACUGAGACACGGCCCAGACUCCUACGGGAGGCAGCAGUAGGGAAUCUUCCGCAAUGGACGAAAGUCUGACGGAGCAACGCCGCGUGAGCGAAGAAGGUCUUCGGAUCGCAAAGCUCUGUUGUCAGGGAAGAACAAGUACCGUUCGAAUAGGGCGGUACCUUGACGGUACCUGACCAGAAAGCCACGGCUAACUACGCGCCAGCAGCCGCAGUAA